rnacentral:misc_RNA from 1 species
AAAUUGUUUUGGCCUCUGAAAUUCGUACUGUGAAAGAAUAUGAAGCUUAUGAUACUAAAAUGCAGAAUGCAGGAGCACAUGAGAAGUCACCUUCAAUUAUAGGGAAAAAACGCAAAAAUAAGAUUGCCAUGAGCCCUCCUGGAAUUUUUCCCUUCGAAAAUUUGGAGUCAACUGCUGAGAAUGAUUUAGAAACUCCACAUGGUGAAAAUGCUUGUGGUCCAACAACUAAUAUUUUAGCAUUGGAAUCUGCCGAUAGAGUUGAAAAUAGCACUCAGCAGGAUGAUGAAUUAGUUCCUACAGACAAGGUUCUUGCAGUUAAACAGUCUCUCACUAAAAGCAGAAUCCAAAGGGAUACAAAAGGCAAGUCUAAGGUUUUAUCUGAUGGAGAUGCAAAUGAA